UUAAGUUCAGCGGGUAUUCCUACCUGAUCCGAGGUCAACCUUUGGUGGAUGGGUGCGAGGCCAGCCCACGCCGGACGCCCAAAGCGAGAGUAAGUACUGCGCUCGGAGACCGGGUCGUGUCCGCCACUGGAUUUGGGCGCUGCAGACGCAGGGCGCCAACACCAAGCCGGGGCUUGAGGGUUGAAAUGACGCUCGAACAG
rnacentral:misc_RNA from 1 species